UAGGGAAUCUUCGGCAAUGGACGAAAGUCUGACCGAGCAACGCCGCGUGAGUGAAGAAGGUUUUCGGAUCGUAAAACUCUGUUGUUAGAGAAGAACAAGGACGUUAGUAACUGAACGUCCCCUGACGGUAUCUAACCAGAAAGCCACGGCUAACUACGUGCCAGCAGCCGCGGUAAUACGUAGGUGGCAAGCGUUGUCCGGAUUUAUUGGGGGUAAAGCGAGCGCAGGCGGUUUCUUAAAUCUGAUGUGAAAGCCCCCGGCUCAACCGGGGAGGGUCAUUGGAAACUGGGGGACUUGAGUGCAGAAGAGGGGGGUGGAAUUCCAUGUGUAGCGGUGAAAUGCGUAGAUAUAUGGAGGGAAACCAGUGGCGAAGGCGGCUCUCUGGUCUGUAACUGACGCUGAGGCUCGAAAGCGUGGGGAGCAAACAGG
rnacentral:rRNA from 1 species